rnacentral:pre_miRNA from 13 species
GUCUCCCUGGUGCAGUGGUUCUAAUCAGUUCAACAGUUCUCUAUCGAAAUUGUGAAAUGUUUAGGACCACUUGACCUGGG